GAUGAACGCUAGCGGCAGGCUUAACACAUGCAAGUCGAGGGGUAUUAGUUUUCGGACUAAGAGACCGGCGCACGGGUGCGUAACGCGUAUGCAAUCUACCUUUUACAGAGGGAUAGCCCAGAGAAAUUUGGAUUAAUGCCUCAUAGCAUUGCAGGAUGGCAUCAUUCAGCAAUUAAAGUCACAACGGUAAAAGAUGAGCA
rnacentral:rRNA from 1 species